CUCUCUCCUGCUGCACUGUGAAGAAACUGCUUGCUUCCCUCUCACCCUCUGCAGUUUCCUGAGGCCUCCCCAGCCAUGCGGAACUCCUGCUUCCAUAUCGUAAACUGCCUUGGAACCAAGUACCACUACCAGGGAGACAAACUAUUGCUUAGAGGAUGCUGACGGGAGCAGCAUGCCAAAAUUGGAAGAAUGUUGUCUCUCAGCUGGUGCCACGAAUAGGUCUUCAGCAGGCUGUUCCAUUCCACCAUUCUAUCUGGCCCACUGCUUCUUACAAGAUUAAGAUAGCAGAUCCCAUGGGUGUAGGGAGAAAGUUUAAGCUCUCCUCACUAUGAGUUUUCAAGUAUAAAAGACUUUUUCUUCCAUGAUUUUGAGAACAACUGUGGACUCUUGUGACCAGGACAACAGGGAAGCUUGCAGCAAGAUAGCUCCAGGUUGGAUUCACGCUUCGCACCCCAAGGGCUGCCAGCCAGAGAGGAGGAGAAGCAAUCACUCCUGCAGUUUCUGAACACUACACAGACGCCAGGUAGCUUCUUCAGGAGAACAGCCCUCUGAGGAGGCAGGAAGAGGAGGCUUCUCUUUCAGCA
rnacentral:lncRNA from 1 species